CCUGGGUUCCAGCGAUCCUCCCGCCUCAGCCUCCCCAGUAGCUGGGGCUACAGGUCUAGCUGGAGUACAGUGAUGCAGUCAUAGCCCACUGCAGCCUCAAAAUUCCUGGGCUCAAGCAAUCCACCCACAUCAGCUUCCCAAGUAGUUGGGACUACAGGCCCACACUACUAUACCCAGACCAACAGAUAUUCUAGCAUAUAAGAAAUGUGAUGCUCUCUGUACAUUGAAGAGUUGGUCUAAUAUUUGGCCUGGUGGAUACAGAAAUUGCCUGUCUGCUCCGCUCUGGUUGAAGAAACCAGUCCGACUGUCUCUGAGGCUAUGGAGCAGUCCAUCAAGAAUGAAAGCCCUCGGCUGGCACGUUGGCUCACACCUGUAAUACCAGCGCUUUGGGAGGCUGAGGCAGGUGGAUCACUUGAAGUCACGAAUU
rnacentral:lncRNA from 1 species